GCUGCCUUUUGGCUGCGACUGUGAUGCCGCUGACUCCCCAAUAGCUGUUUUCCUAGAAGUGAAAGUGGAUUUGCUCUGAGUUCCGUCGUCCCUUGUGACCCAGGGCUCACUGAGGAAGCAGCGCCAAGGGCACAGGACUGACCACCGAAAGGAGCCCCGCCAACCCGUCCUCAAGGGCACUUGGACUUGAUGCUGGCCUUGUGAGUAUGCCCCCGUGUCCCUCCUCCAACAUCCUGACAGAGACAAAGUUCUUGAAAUACAGGAAGGGUUGGUGCCUUCCUAGAAGGUCAUUCAUUCCCUGGUGCCAGGGAAGUCCUGCUGGGCCGUAGUGAUGAGAACGAGGGAGACCUGGGUUGGGGCCCCAGCUCCUUGAGCAAAUGACUUAACCCCUCUGAGUUUAGCCUCCUUGCUUGGAAAAGAGGCCUAACAGCGCUUGCUUACUUCACAGAGAUAGGUGCUCUGCAGAUGAGAUGCUGUAAAUGACGUACGCGUGGCAUCUAUGACAGUGCCUGAAACACAGCAGGUGCUCAGUAAAUGCUCAUCCUAAAUUUUCUCAUAGCUUUUGGCAACAAAUNCCCAGGGCUCACUGAGGAAGCAGCGCCAAGGGCACAGGACUGACCACCGAAAGGAGCCCCGCCAACCCGUCCUCAAGGGCACUUGGACUUGAUGCUGGCCUUCUCGCCCCUGCCCUGGCGCUGCACGAUGUCCUUGAGUGUCUUCUGCAAAAAGGGGAGAAAAGCAGCCUUCUUCUUCUGGGCCCCUUCUGCUCUUCUCCCCUCCACGCCGACGACAGAGAGCUGUUCCUCCUUCCUUCUGCGUUCUAGCUGGGACAACGAUGGCCCUGUCACUCGUGGCCUCUCCCACCACAGCAGCGUCCUGGGUCUGCUGGCCUCAGAGCACACAUACCUUUCUGGACCUGGGUUCUGUUUCCAGGGUCCCCUUACUCGGAAAGCAGGGGUCAGGGAAACAAAGACAAUAGCGCGGAGACAAGGCCAAGUUUACAGCCUAUCAUCAUCUCGGUGGACCUCCACUCUCGGCACUGGCUGGGCCAUCCCCUGUGAUAGGCCCCCUACCCUCAGCCCUGUCUACACGCAGACAGAUGCGGAUGUGAGCUGGUCCCGCAGGGAUGACUGUGGGAACCCGGCCCCUCCUGGCUUCUGCCUGCCUUGGCUGAAUGAGGCCCUGGUCAGUUCCACCCACGGAUCUGACCCGAAGGCCCGGCACCCAGCUGAGGAAUGCUCUCCAGGCCUUUCCCACUCCCGGUCCAUGGUGGCAGUGAGAACUGCUCACUCUCUUAUGGCUGGACUCUCACUCUCCCCUCUUCUUCUUCUUCUUCUUCUUCUUCUUCUUCUUCUUUUUUUUUUUUUUUUUUUUUNNNNNNNNNNNNNNNNNNNNNNNNNNNNNNNNNNNNNNNNNNNNNNNUUCUUCUUUUUUUUUAAUGGCUGCACUCACGGCAUACGGAGGAUCCCAGGCUAG
rnacentral:lncRNA from 1 species